rnacentral:rRNA from 1 species
AUACAGAGGGUGCGAGCGUUAAUCGGAAUUACUGGGCGUAAAGCGCGCGUAGGCGGCUUAUUAAGUCAGAUGUGAAAUCCCCGGGCUCAACCGGGGAACUGCAUCUGAUACUGGUAAGCUAGAGUUUUGGAGAGGGAAGUAGAAUUUCAGGUGUAGCGGUGAAAUGCAUAGAGAUCUGAAGGAAUACCAGUGGCGAAGGCGACUUCCUGGCCAAAAACUGACGCUGAGGUGCGAAAGCGUGGGUAGCAAACGGGAUUAGAAACCCUAGUAGUCC